GUGGCCCAGGGCGUCGUCGGAAUGCGCGCACUUUUGUACUGCCCGCCCAGCUGACUCAAUCCCACGUUGCCAGACGAAAAAAACUGCGGCGUCCAGAAGUGGCGAAGCAUCCAGGAGAGGUGAAGUGACCAAAAACGGUAUUGAUAGGCCGCAGUUCGUUGACGAAAUUGCGCCGAGCCAGGGGGAGCUUGUACCGUUGUGCCAUUCACGCAUGGGUGUCAUCGGGACCGGCCGCAUCGAAGAAACGGACCAUGGACGGCCAUUGAAGAUCGGCAACAGGACCUGUAUAAGCAUCAGCAGCCUACAAUUGCUUGGCGUCUCAAGCCCUAAACGCGACGUCGCCUUAUGCUAUGUGGCUUAACAUGUCGGAUGAAUACAGACAUGCAGCGCAAGGAGUAUUGUUAUGCCUAUGGAAGGGUGUUCUCAGUCGCGGCGUUGACGGACCUGCCAUCGAUGAUGCUGUUGCCUUUACACGAAGAGCUGUUCUCACUUUUGGAUGGACCUAAAUUAACUGACGUCACCUGGAAAAUAUACAGCGCCAAGCAAUCACAAUGCUGAUGUUCAAGACACCUCAGUACUGUGUUAGGUUUAAUGCGGACAGCUACUGUGUGUUUUACAGUCACUAUAGUGCGACAUAUUGUAGUAAAUAAACGUAUUUACAGCAUUACAAAUAAAAUUUUUUGUCAUGAAA